rnacentral:rRNA from 1 species
GACGGGGGGGGUAAGCGUUGUUCGGAAUUACUGGGCGUAAAGGGCUCGUAGGCGGCCAACUAAGUCAGACGUGAAAUCCCUCAGCUUAACUGGGGAACUGCGUCUGAUACUGGAUGGCUUGGAUCCGGAAGAGGGAUGCGGAAUUCCAGGUGUAGCGGUGAAAUGCGCAGAUAUCAGGAAGAACACCAAUGGCGAAGGCAGCUCUCUGGGACGGUACUGACGCUGAGACGCGAAAGCGUGGGGAGCGAACAGG